GCGUUGGCCUGCUGGCCGGUG
rnacentral:miRNA from 1 species